rnacentral:lncRNA from 1 species
CUGAGCAAAGCAGGGGCAGAAAGGCGCAAUGCUGGAUAAUAUUCCAGAACUCCUGCCAGGUUGGCUGAAGCUUUGUUUGGCCUAUAUCACAGUUUGUCUUCUCCCUUUUCCCAAACCCUGUUUCUCUUCUCUUGCAGAUAUUGAUCUCUAACAAACACCUUGCACCCCAAACUCCAGCUCGGCAUGUUUCUAAAGAACCCUGCCUGCCAUAGCUGCAGCCAAGAGCUGGAUUACUCAUAACCUGGCUGCUAAUAAGGACCCCUUCACUGGUGGCAGAUGGAGCACAGCAGCCGCUGGCACAAGGUGAUGGUCCAAUUGCUCACUGGUGGUGAGUUGUAAGGGUAAACCAGUGGAGGGAAAUGCACUAAUUGGUGCUCUGUAACUCCUGUCUGAGAAGUACACAGGAAAUGACAGCAUUGCCAAACUGCACUGAUGCCUUGCAAAAAGACAGUGAGCAGCUGAGGGCCAGUAAGUAGACAAUUAAAAAAGCGUCUUGGGGUGCCUCGGUGGCUCAGUGGGUUAGGCAUCGGACUCUUGGUUUCAGCUCAUGUCAUGAUCUCAUGGGUGGUAGGAUCACGCCUCACAUGGGGCCCUGAGCUGAGUGUGGAGCCUGCUAGAGAUUCUCUCCCUCUGCCCCCACCCUUUCAUUCCCUUGCUGGGGUAAAUAAAUAAAUCUUUUUUAAAAGGGGGGGGGGUUCUGGAAAUCAAAAGGCCUCUCUGUUUAUAUACAAAUAAGCUCAUCCCCCUUACUAGGACGCAGAGGAAGUUGAGGAUCAAGUUAAAGUGCAACAAUAUCAGGUCAGUUAUGCUAAGCUCAGUAUGCUGGGGGAAAAAAACUGGGCAGCUGAUUCAGGGAUGGAGAUGCUGGAUGGAUGCCUCUGAAGAUUUUGACUCCCCAGAGUCCCCUGAACCUUCUGAGCCUGUAGAAGUGCUCCACUCCUCCCUACUGAAAGAAGAUGUUGCUGCGGCUGAGGUCGAAGAGGUUGCUGCCUGUGUUCUUCUCAAGGAUUUUGAUGGAUUCCUUUCGCACAUUGAGGUCCUUCAUCCAUUUUGAGUCUAUUUUCAUGUGUGGUGUAAGGAAGUGGUCCAAUUUCAUUUUUCUGCAUGUGGCUGUCCAGUUUUCCCAACACCAUUUAUUGAAGAGGCUGUCUUUUUUCCAUUAAAAAAAAAAAAAAAAAGAAGAAGAAAUAGAAAUAAACCACCAUUUUGCACCAAAGACGUCUCAAGAAUUAUUUCUUGGUUGUCAGCUUGGGACUUCACCCCACUGAAUCUCACUUACAUUCUAAAACUUCAUCACUGAGAUAUGGGCAGUGCAUGAACUGGAUAUUGGAGAUAAGUUAUUGAAAAGCCAGCAUUUACU